AUGAGCCUGCGGUACGGUUCCUUAGAAAGCUUGGAAGUAUUUUUCAAGAUUUCAAAUUAUUGGGAAAAAUGAUAUUAUUCUGCCUACAAAUUUGCCCCUAACGGUCAUUUGAGUUACUGUUAAGGUAUUCUUAUAGUCUCAAGUUAGACAAUAUUCUGUAUUGCUAGAUAGAAAUGGACGAAGAAAGCGAUGAAACCUUUUGCGAUUCGAUGGAAGAAGACAAACUUUGCUCAGAUUCUCAAAACUCGCCAUCGAUUCUUGGAGGACUUCAAAACGCAGUAUCCCGAAAGACAUCUCAACUUCUGUCAUGCAAUGAUGAUGGUGGUAUCAACUCAGUGCCAGCAGUACAUGGGUCACCUCAAUAUCUCCCACCUGCUGCAAAACUCAAGAAACUUGAUGUCCCUCUACUCAAGUUACACCAAGAUACUAAGCCUGAGGAGAUGGUGGAACCAGAAUCACAACUGGCACAAGAUGGAACACCAGAGUUACCUCAUCCACCUGGCAAAUUUAAGCAUCUUAGUUAUCCCCCAUACAUAGAGCUCCCACUUUCUGCUGAUCGGCAUUAUAUAGAUGUAGCUGAAUCGCAACAGACACAGGAUAUGAUAAUAGGAGGAGCUCCAGAUUAUCCCCUUUCAUUUGUCAAAUUAGCAAAGCUUGAUGCCCAUCAGCUGCCAGAAGGACCAGACAUGGGGUGGAACGAUUCACAGCUUACACAGGAUGUGGUUAUAGAUGAUGGGUCACACAUGAAGAAAGAUGAUUCAGUGAUUAAGGCAAGGCAACAUCAGAUAGCAGACAUAAAGAGCAAGAUCCAGAAUCUAAGCAAGAUCCAGAAUCUAAGCAGAAUGAAAGCAUCAGGCAAAGACAUCAAGACAAGUUCAGAGUUUGCAUCUAUCAAAAACGAUAUGUCAACCCUUCGUACUGCUUUAAGUGAGAUGAACAUUGAGCAACAGAAAAGCAGAGAGCGACUGACUCAGGAAUGUCAAGAGAAGGAGUGGCAAGAGACAUCUAAGGAAAAAUUGCACAUGCUGGCGACAAAACAGAAGCAAAUCCUUGAACUGUUCAGGAAAUAUAAGGGUUUGGUGACACUUCUCAAAGGACUGACAAACCAGGUACCAUCUGCCCUGCCUGGUAUUAGUGAGCCAUUGGAUGCCAUGAUAACUGAGAAAAGUGAAGCACUAACUAGCUUGGAAUCUACAAGUGAGGAUAAUGCCGCUAAGCCAAAACCAGAGUUGACAGAGUCGAAAUGUAGUGCAGUUACAUUUUCGGUCAAGGAACCCGGCUCUACUGAAACAAGGUCAUUGAGUGGAUCGUGUUCAUCAAGAUCGGUGUCACACGAACAUCGCACAAUCAACCAGAGUUUACCAUCAAAGCUACCAGCACCAGCCACUAUAAUAUAUGUGAACGACACGAGCACCCAAGGCGUGUCUACCGUGCAGGGAUUGGUACAGUCACAGCCAAGAUGCCAAGCUACAUUGAAUCCCGUGAGAAAACUGAGUGUAUCAGCUACAAGUGCUCAGAAAAAAAACAUUUCAGGGAAAUCAGACGAGGCUUGUACGACGAUUAAUUGUACCACAAGGGUAAUGACGGGAAUAAAAAGUCAUAUCACCAGCACAUAUCCUACUAAAGCUCAGCCUUCAAGAGAGGGUUUAUCACAAAGCACCACACCCUUGUCCUUACAUACCACUGCACUCCAGCAAGCCUCAACCAAUCUUAGGGACUGCACACUUGAAAACAGCUUCCAUCCCGGAUCAAACAUCGAAACAAAUACACCAAUAAGAGCUUUACUUUUACCCUUUAAGCCUCAAACUACUAUGACUAAUUUCGUUAAAAAAGGUAUUCUGGUAAACAAAAGCGGCCAUCUGUCGGGUUCUAACACUGUAUCUGAUACUCAUGCAAAGACUGUGCCCAGUACCUCGGUACUCCAAGGAUCAACCGAUGUUAGCGCUACAAAACGCACUCCGGAAGCCAGCUAUCACUGUGGUCCAAACGUGAGUACUGAUAGUCAAACAAGAACUAUGCUUGCAACCACUGUACCUCGAGUAAUAACCUAUGUCCUCACGAACGAACACACCCCGGCAAAGAGUGACCUGUUAGAAUCAGAUACAGCCACUAAUAACCAAGCCAGGGCUGAACUUAGAUCUACUUUUCCCCAGAGAUCAACAACUAAUGUUGUCGCCGAAGACAACAGCCUGGCAGUAAAGAUUAGUGAGUGUGGGUCAAAUAGCGCCACUAAUACUCGAACGAAAAGCGUCUCUAGGGCUCCAAAUGGUCAAAGACCUGCGGGACACCCAAAUGAAGUAGUUCCAAGUGAACAAAAGAUGGGAAUACAGUCUACGGGAACCUCUGCGGGUACAACACCCAGAACACCAUCCUUAACAAGGAAUCAGACUGGAGGCGCAUCAGCUGCCGCAUCCUUGACCAGGAAGCAGACUGGAGGCGCAUCAGCUGCCGCAUCCUUGACCAGGAAGCAGACUGGAGGCGCAUCAGCUGCCGCAUCCUUGACCAGGAAGCAGACUGGAGGCGCAGCAUCCUUAACCAGGAAGCAGACUGGGGGUGCAGCAUCCUUAACCAGGAAGCAGACUGGGGGCGCAGCAUCCAUGACCAAAAAGCAGACUGGGGGUAGACAACCAGAGACAGGGGCUACCAAAGGAGUGGUAUACAAUCAGACAGCACAAACUCCUCGGCCAGACCUCAAGAGUCUACUGCAGCAUGGCGUUCUGCAACCGGGAAUCAACGUUCUAUCCGUACAGAUUCAGGGCAAGAGAUUCGAGGCGUCUCUCAUGGCAAAUGGCCAAAUCCAGUCGGAUAAUGGUGAUAUCUACACCACGCCCAUGUCGUGGAUAAAAGGGAUAACUGGCAGCAGAACCCAUAUGUCACAGGCACGCUCCUAUGAUCAGGUCAAAUUUAGCCUUCAUGGGAAAACGGCCUAAGGCCCUGUCCCCACGUAUCAGUUUUUGUUUGAAAACGCAACCUUUUCGUUACGGAUAUAUACGGGUAUCUUCCAUACGUAAACUGGAAAACUGAGCAAUUUGAAAACUCUAUCCAGAGUGGAGCAUUUUGAAAACGAUACCUCUUCGGUGUCGUAUGGACGGAACUUUUCGAAAACAAUUACGUGAUGACUUACUAUGCGCUGUAAAGCUUGUUAUCGUUUAAUAUCGUUUCUCCUUUUUCGUGUGGACGGGCCGUUAAAAAUGCAAACGCUUCGUGUGCGCUGUCAAGGCUAUUGAUGAAAUUUUGUCGAGACUUUCGCAUAAAUAACGAGCUAUGUGCGGUUCUGGCAUUUUUGCUUUAACGUUAGGUCUAUAUUGGAGACAAGGUCUGUAUUGGAGGCAAGGUGCUGUCUUCGUACUUACUUCCAAAAGUCCAGCAAGCAAACCAGAAAUCCCAAAGAGCAAACCAGAAAUCC